rnacentral:lncRNA from 1 species
ACACAAUAUCUAACGUAUUGUUAUGUAGCAGAGUCUAUGAGGUAGAUGGAAUACAAUAUCUAAGGUAUUGUUAUGUACCAGAGUCUAUGAGGUAGAUGGAAUACAAUAUCUAAGGUAUUGUUAUGUACCAGAGUCUAUGAGUUAGAUGGAAUACAAUAUCUAAGGUAUUGUUAUGUACCAGAGUCUAUGAGGUAGAAGGAAUACAAUAUCUAACGUAUUGUUAUGUACCAGAGUCUAUGAGUUAGACGGAAUGUAAAAAAAUAUUAGGUCUUCUAAACACACACACAGGCUGGGGAGGAGCGAGAAAAGGCCACGUUAUAUUAACACAAAUAAACAGGAUGUUUACAUAAUCACUAUUAUGUGAGGUAGCAGCGCAAAUCUUCUCAUUUCCACAAGCCAGAGUUGAGAAGUAUAUAGAUGUUAGAUAGCUAAUAUGGAUAUGUGUGUUCAUGUGUGUAUUGGCUGCAUCCUACACGUUUGCUUACAACCCUUAUUGAGUUAUUUUAAAGUGCUUUUUUUUUAAAGUGCUUUAUAUAUAUAGCUUGCCCUUUAAGACUCUAAUCACAUAUAUAGAUGGUACUUUAUUUAUUUAGCUAAAUCAGUCACUGUCUAAAGAACAUGAACAACGUAACACUCUACGCUGAGUUUUGGGAGAUGGAGGGACAUCGUUUCCAUACAGAAUAAACAAAUCCCAACCUACCAGCAUCUCUCGUGAACAAGCGGCAUCGUGGGACACAGGAGGACCAACUGACAAACUAACAGGAAUCAUUCUCCUCCUUCCUCAAGAGCGUUCAACACAAAGGCUUCUGGAUAGUCUGGGCCAUAGUCAUCGGUCAUUGUAGACCCUGUUAGUGCGAACCACACUGGACUUCAUAUCCUAGAGGUGAUAUUGUAUGCUUCUGCCCCACAACAUGUCUACUGUACAGACCAGCACUUUUUGGAUCAACUUCCUCUUGAUUUCCUGUUUAAGUUUCUUAUCUUCACUUCCUGUUUCUGACCGUAAUUAGGAAGUGGGAAGAAUUGAUAAGAUAGAAGUCUUUCUGAUGUCUUGUGGUAGAAUCUCCCACCCAGGACACACCCACGCAUGGAUGUCCACCAAAACACACAGGCCUAUGUCUGAUUAUUGGGUACUGACUGCCACCUGGGUGAACUUUAACCUUUAGCCCCUGAGGUUAUGUGGUCAGGUCACUGUUCUCUCAGCAAUGUAAACCUCAGCAGCGCAGAUAUAUUGUAUUCUCAAGUAUUUUACAUUUUAGUCAUUUAGCAGACGCUCUUAUCCAGAGCGACUUACAGUAGUGAAUACAUACAUUUCGUGCAUUUGUUUUUUUGUACUGGCCCCCCGUGGGAAUCAAACCCACAACCCUGGCGUUGCGCACACCAUGCUGGCGUUGCAAACACCAUGCUCUACCAACUGAGCCACAGGGAAAGUAUCUUCAACAACCAGUAGAUGGCGUCUGAUUGGUUCCUGUUCAACCAGUAGAUGACAUCUGAUUGGUUCCUGUUCAACCAAUAGAUGACAUCUGAUUGGUUCCUGUUCAACCAGUAGGUGACAUCUGAUUGGUUCCUGUUCAACCAGUAGGUGACAUCUGAUUGGUUCCUGUUCAACCAGUAGAUGCCGUCUGAUUGGUUCCUGUUCAACCAGUAGGUGACAUCUGAUUGGUUCCUGCACAAGCUCAAACUCAAAAGUGUAUUGUGAUCUCAUUUGCUGAUAAGGACAUUUCUUCUGGUCAACAGUUUUGCAUAUCGUCAUGUGAUCUGGACACACCGGUCUCUUAUUGGCCAGGACUCCUAUAUUACUUCUUAAAUCAGCCCUCUCUCAUUUCUUAUUGGUUGCUGUUACAUGCACACAAUAAUGUGAUUAUUGUGAAUAGUCAGAUUAAUAUAAUAGUUUGUUUAAAUGUUGUAUGCUUUGCAAGAAGAACAAUUUCCCUAAAAAUCCUGUUUACAUGGACACAUCUGAAAUCAGGCUACCUGAUGGGAUUUUUGA